GACGAACGCUGGCGGCGUGCUUAACACAUGCAAGUCGAGCGAGUGGCGAACGGGUGAGUAACACGUGGGUCACCUGCCCUUCACUUCGGGAUAAGCCUGGGUAACUGGGUCAAAUACCUGAUAUUGUGGGAUGGGCCCGCGGCCUAUCAGCUUGUUGGUGGGGUAAUGGCUACCAAGUCGCUACGGGUAGCCGGCCUGAGAGGGUGGACGGCCACAGUGGGACUGGGACAGGGCCCAGACUACUAUGGGUGGCAGCAGUGGGGAAUAUUGCAAAAUGGGCGCAAGCCUGAUGCAGCAAUGCCGCGUGUAUGAAGAAGGCCUUAGGGUUGUAAAGUACUUUCAGCGGGGAGGCGUUACCCGCAGAAGAAGCACCGGCUAACUAAGUGCCAGCAGCCGCGGUAAUAC
rnacentral:rRNA from 1 species